GAUGAAGAACGCAGCGAAAUGCGAUAAGUAAUGUGAAUUGCAGAAUUCAGUGAAUCAUCGAAUCUUUGAACGCACAUUGCGCCCGCCAGUAUUCUGGCGGGCAUGCCUGUUCGAGCGUCAUUUCAACCCUCAAGCACAGCUUGGUGUUGGGACUCGCGUUAAUUCGCGUUCCCCAAAUUGAUUGGCGGUCACGUCGAGCUUCCAUAGCGUAGUAGUAAAACCCUCGUUACUGGUAAUCGUCGCGGCCACGCCGUUAAACCCCAACUUCUGAAUGUUGACCUCGGAUCAUGUAGGAAUACCCGCUGAACUUAAGCAUAUCAAUAAGCGGAGGA
rnacentral:misc_RNA from 1 species